rnacentral:lncRNA from 1 species
CCGGUCCGUACCGCGCUCUGUCAGCGGUUUAUCGGCCCUUAAAAACUUCGGCUUCGCAGGUGCCCUCCUGCCCCCGCAGCCCUCGUUCCAGCAGUCCCUAAUUCAGCCUCAUUUUCGAACUGCAGCCCCUGCCGCCGUUCCAGGCAUCCCGAGCCACUUACUCAUUCUUCCCAAUGCUUGUCGCUGCUAUCCUAAAUAUAGGGUAGUGUGCCAACGGGAGAGGCUCGGGAGCGAGCCGGGGUGCAGGGAACGCCACCGCCGUGUCGGCAGAGCCGUGCUGCUCCCAGCCCGUGCUGCCUGCUUGCUGCAGGCUUUGUGCUGCUUGGGGAGCUGCCGUGAGUUCCUGAAUGGGAUGGGGUUGGUUAUGGUGUGUGCUGACUUAGCGGUGCCCGGGGUACGGGUCAGUGUGCUCUUUGCACUGCCCUGCACCCGCGGGUCUGUAGGGAUUUGUUAACCCCGAGUGCUUCUCUGCUUUCAGACGUGGCUCACACCAGGCUGAGUGCUGCGGGGCCGCGCUCUGCUCCUCUGGCUGCUGCGGGGCCUGAGGGUGGGCAGUGGGGGACACCGAGAUCCCCACCGGCUUCGGCUGUGAGAGGCACGGCCAGAACUGGCUCAGACCUGACCAUAGCUUAUCUGCCACGGCCGGCUGCUCUGGAGGAAUUCCUGCACGUCUUCUGGCGGCAGAACUUCGCUCCGGCAGCGGGGGGACGUCGGAGGGAAUGCUGCGUCCUGGUUCGUGCCAUAGAGAGAGGCGCUGCGGUGCUUUGCACCUGAGCCCGGGGUCCCCUCAGCUCUGCUGGAGGAGGUGAGAGGGCGGUGGGGUCACGCUGGUGGCACUGCCGGGCUCCCCUGGCACAGGGGUGAGCCGCAGCGUGCUGCUGGUGCAGCAGAGGUGUGUGACACAGCAGCAGGAGCGGUGUGAGCUGCCUCUCCGCGUCCCGUCAGCUGAGGAAUAGCGUGGAGGAAUGAAUUCCAGUGAGUUGGAUGAGGAAAAUGUAAACUCUGCGUUCUCGUCGGGCAAACAGCAGUCGUGUAAAUAAACGUCUCUGGGAUUCCUUGUGGUGCUCAUCGACUGCCCAAUCCCUCGUGGUCUCUUGUUGAACUGGUGGGGUGGCUGCUGCUGCUCCCCCAGCUCUGAGUGCUUUGCCAGCAGUUUGGGCAAAACACAAGUAAACACCAUUGGGUUGACCCGGCAUAUCUGAGGUCUUGGUAUGCUGAAAAUGUUUGUUCUUGGGAUGUUUGUGCAGUCUGGAGGGCUCUGUACUUUAAGUCCCGUUUGCUGAGGACUGUGACUUGUUUAAUCUGUCUGAAGAACCUGUGCUUUUGGGGCUUGUUCUGUGAGAUUGAGUAAGUUUGGGCAAAGCCUGGAGGUGCUGCAGGAAGGGAGGUUAGUUCAUUAACCAACGGUCACGCAGGUGUGCAUAUUUCCUGCUCCGCCGCGUUUUCCUACCUGUGUAUUUUCCUGCAUUUAUUCACUGACUCGAUUCUGGUCUGGAUUGAAGUUCAUUGAAGUGGGAAAGGCUCUCGGGACUGCUUGGUGUUGCUUUGCUUUUCCUGAGUGUGCCGGCUGUGCUGGGCUGCCUGCAUCCUGGGACGGGCGGUGAAUAGAAGCCGAAGCUCCUGUCUGGAGGGCAGCCUUUGCCUGAGGUGUCAGCAGGGCUCAGGUGAGAUCUCACACCCCAGGACUGCAUGCCAUUUUCCCCAGUGCUGUGUCCUGCUCAAGGUCACACGGCGUGGCACCGUGGGUUCCCGGAGGCCAGGCUCCCUCUGGGAGGUGCCCUGGCAUCCCCACUGCACCUCCACAUCCUGGGCCAGGUUGUGGGCCUGCUGCUUCUGACAUAUCCAACUUGGGGAGCUCCUGGUGGGCCCCUAGCUUUAGCACAAAGGGUUUGUGCUGGUGGCACUCUUGCUAUGGACGUGAGCAAGCUCCUUCCUGCACGUGGCGGCCAGUCUAUGCUGAGCUGAUCUUUUUUUUUCUUUUUCCCCCUUUUUUUUUAUUCCCCUGGAUUAACUUUCUGCAAAUUAGUAACCCAAAUGGUCACACGAAGGAGUGGAUAAGCACAGAGCCCCAGAGGAGGGGGCCCAGCCUGGAGGAGGAGGAGGAGGCAGCGGGUGCUGGUGCUGCAGCGGUGAGUUAGCACAGGGCACUCUCAAAAGGGCCCUUCUCUUCCCCACUCUCAGCUGUGCCCUCCUGCCUCCUCCCACGUGCCAGCUGUGGUGCUGAGCCCGUGCAUUGAUGAACUGACCCAGCUCGCUUGGCAUUCAAUUGUUCUUUUCAUGGUGGGUUUUUUUUCUGUGUGAGCAUUUCCCUGCUGGUCAGGAGGGGACUCAGACCGGGCUGGCAGGCAGGGAGCCCUCUGCCAGCACGGCUCUCCACUGAGGUCCCUCCUGUGGGGUUACUGCCCUGCUUGCUGCUACUGCAGCUGUGGCAUUUGCCAUCGCGGUGACCCUGACCGAGAAUACGGGCUGUAUUUUCUCACGUGCUUUCUGAGAAGAGCUCAGCUCCUGGAGGGCAACGGGGUGGCUUCAGAAAGAUUUCAGAUCCUGGCUCAGAGCUCUACCACAAAUUGCUUUAAAAGCUUCUGUGCAGCGUUGGGUUCUGCAGUGCUCCUCGGGAGGACCUGACUGGUGGCAUUCCUGCCUGCCCUCGGUGCAGGGAUUGCAGGAGGGGUUUCAGCUUAUUGCAGCACGGCCACGGGUCACUCUGGUGCUGAACACAGCUGAGGUGUUUGUUAUCUCCAUGCUGUACUCUGGGGAGUCUUACAGGAAGGCCUCACGCAGGGAGCAGAUUCCGAGUGUGAUAGCAGGAGGCAUUGUGAGCCAGAAGGCAGAAGAACUGUACUGCUGGAUGCUGAUACUGAGUGCUUUGGAGCUCUCUUUUUCUCCUCUAACACCUUCCAUCUGGAUCUGCUUCCUCUGAAGGUGAGCACUCAGCUUUUCCCCAGAUCAGGGCUUCUUAGCACCGGAUGACCUUGCAGUCACCUGCAAACACAGCGUGAGGCUGCUGGAAAUCUGAACUGAUGCUUUUGACACUGAGGCUGCAAAGAUACAAAUAAUCUGGGUUGCAACAGUUUGAUAUUUGCAUCCCAUAGGCUUUCCUGGCACCUGUUGCUGUGUUCUCUGUGCUGGAGGAGUUGGUUCUCUCAUGCAGGACCAUGCCUGGUGGUUUCCCACCCCAGAGAAGCUGUUACCGUUGGAGUUUCUAUCAUAAUGCCAGGAGGCACAUUAGGGAAUGAAAGGUGGUUGUUCUGAACUCUGUAUUAAAGGUCUCAGGAUCUUAAAAUUCAGUUCCCUCUCUCCUAUCAGCUCCCAAAAUCUUCGUUCUUUCCUUUCUCCUGCACGCUGCACUGUCGUGCAUGCUUUAUGACAUGUUGAAAAGUGUAAUUUUGGUAAUGCUGGCAACAGCUGAGCUUAACAGACUCAGCUUGUGUCACUGACUUGGUGAGCUCUCACUCUG